rnacentral:rRNA from 1 species
UCCGCGCGAGGAUGGGGCUGCGUCCCAUCAGGCAGUUGGUGGGGUAAUGGCCCACCAAACCUAUAACGGGUACGGGCCGUGAGAGCGGGAGCCCGGAGAUGGGCACUGAGACAAGGGCCCAGGCUCUACGGAGCGCACCAAGCGCGAAACCUUCGCAAUGCGGGAAACCGUGACGGGGCCAUCCCGAGUGCAGGCUGCUGAGGUCUGCUUUUGCCCAGUGUAAGAAGCUGGGCGAAUAAGUGGGGGGCAAGACUGGUGUCAGCCGCCGCGGUAAUACCAGCUCCACGAGUGGUCAGGACGGUUAUUGGGCCUAAAGCGUCCGUAGCCGGCCCGGUAAGUUUAUGGUGAAAUCCGGCAUCUCAAGUGUCGGAGCGCUGUAAAUACUGCCGGGCUAGGGAGCGGGAGAGGCCGAGGGUACCUCCGGGGUAGGGGCGAAAUCCUAUAAUCCCGGAGUGACGACCAGUGGCGAAAGCGCUCGGCUAGAACGCGUCCGACGGUGAGGGACGAAAGCUGGGGUAGCAAGCCGGAUUAGAUACCCGGGUAGUCCCAGCCGUAAACUAUGCGGGCUAGUUGUCGGAACGGCUUAGGGCCGCUCCGGUAACGCAGGGAAGCCAUUAAGCCCGCCGCCUGGGGAGUACGACCGCAAGGUUGAAACUUAAAGGAAUUGGCGGGGGAGCACCACAAGGGGUGAAGCUUGCGGCUCAAUGGAGUCAACGC